rnacentral:lncRNA from 1 species
AUCUAGUUGUCUUUGCAUCUCUGCAUCAAUUUACUCUCAAUAAUAUAAGAGGAUAUUUUAAAUUGUUUUCCUAUGUCCUCAUCUAAUUGUAGAUCAAGAUCCAGUGUAUUAUUUUGGAUUUAUGUCUACAAAUCAACUAGUGCAUCCCUAUCAGUAUUAGCAUAUUCAACUACAUUGCUGAAGUAGUGUUUGCGCAAUUGCUUGAGCUUUCUCUACAGGUAUUUCAACUUCUUUACCACCCUAUACAUACUAUAUUCGUCCACAAACAUACCACAUAUCUCUUGUACUAAGUAUAGGAAUUAGGGAUGUGAACUCAACACAUUGCACUGAUUGGAAACUCUGGCAUUCCUCCUUUCGGCUUGGACAAGUUGAACUACUACUGGACAAUUGUCACUUACCCCUUCUAGAAGUGCAUGACUCGUAAUAUCUAGCAUAGUAAGCAGCCUGCCUAUCAUUCCAUGUAUAUUUUCCACCUGAAUUUAGCAUUUCUUCUAUUUGACAAUCAUGAAUGCACCCUAAAAAUUCACUACUUCAGUAGGUGUAAUAGGAUUUUCUCCUACCUUAUCUUCACUAUGUAGUAUAAAGUUACCAAGAAUGAUCCAUGGCAUACUAUAACCCUGAUGAAUCAUUCUUAAAUGAUCCCACAACUCCACCCUCUCAUCUCUUUGAUUAAAAUCGUAUACAAAUGUAGCUAUGAAUCCAAUCUGCAAUGGAAUAUAUUUGACCAAGCAAGUCACUACUUGAGUAGUAUUAUAUUGAACCACCACAUCAUACCAGUCUUGUCUCCAUACAAUCAAAAUUCUCCCGUUAUAAUGAGAUUGGUGGUUACUAUAAUAAGACCAAUCCCCAAAUAUUUUAUCUGUUGUUUCCUUAAUUAUAUGCACCUUUAUUCUAGUUUCCAAAAAACUUAUUACCAACAUCAAGCUUAGAGAAGAGAAACUUAACCUUCUUCUGUUUCAUGAAGCUUUUAAGGCCUCUAGUGUUCCAGCUUAGGAGCUUAACCAUGACCCUUGGGACAUAUGCCCCUUUUCACUAGCUUUAGUGGUUUGUAUAGGAUACUUAUUACUACUCUCUCCCAACUCCUGGAAGGUAUUUCAAAUCUUCACAGGUUGUCUUUGCCAAGCAUUAACCACCUUAUUCUUUCUAUAACCCCCUACUACUCUUCUAUUGUUUAUGCCCCUCUUUUUUUUUUUAUUUAACUUUGUCAUUUUAUGUCUCACCUCAUGUGUGUCAGUGGCAUUCUCCUCUUAGACCUUGUCCUUCCUGCAAACCUCACUGUUAUGUUCAUACUUCUUACAAGUAUCACAAAUGGUAAGCUUCCGGUCAUAAUUGACUUGCUGUCCAAUCACAAUACCCUUCUCAUUUUUGAACAUGAUCACAUCUUGUAGUGGGUUACCAAUUUGGACCUCCACAAGCAAUUUUGCAAAGCUUAACCUAUUCUUCUACUCUGUAUUCUUGUCCACCAUUAAUGGCUUGCCAAUGAGACUACUUAUCUUGCUAAGACUCUUAGCACUCUCAUAUUUAAAAUCUAACUCAAGUAGUUUCACCUAAAUUGGGACUGAAAAUAGCUCAUCCACAGAGAAAUCCAAGUCCGAAUUCCAACCUUUGGCUAUCAGUGGUUUGUUAUCAAAAUGGAAAAUACCAUCUCGAAGCACUUCUUCCUUCCCUUCAACAAUAUUAAAACUAACCAAUAAUAUUCCAAUUUUCAUCACUGCUAUCUUGCCUAUUCCUAGUUUUUUCCGUGUCCACCGCAUAAAUUCAUUUAAUACAGUAUAUGGGAGUAAGCCCCUAACACAUAACAUACCACAGCGUUCCUCCAAUACUCUACCUUUGAGCUGAUGUCCUCCUUUUCGAUAACGACUAUAGAUACCUCUCUAGACUUGCGAGGUUUAACAUAAUCCAGCUUAAACCCUGCAUUGUUAAUCUUUUAGAUAUCUCAGAAUUUAUCCCAAAUACUCGGUACUUAUCGAAUAUCAAACGAUAUUAAUAUCUUAUAUCAAAGUCAAUUCUAAAUACCGAAAUGUUAAAAUUUAACUCUCAAAUGCCAUAUUAAAUAUCGAAUAUCAAUUAUCAAAUUUUUUGAUUUGAUUCAAUAAUAAAUUUUUUGUAUUUAUGUCCAGACCUAUUCAUAUCUACUUUUGUUUUUUAUCUGAUUGGACACACCACUUGGGCAUGUGUUCCCCCUCACUUUGUCCUUUGCUUAUCCCUGAUGGGAUUUCUAUCACGAUUGAGGGCGGUUCUCCGGAAGACUAGUCUCCCAACUCUUGGCUUCCCUUAGAUCCUACCGUCACGUUUCCUCCAACUAUGCUGCCAUAUUUUGUAGUCCAAUUCUACUUGGCACAUAUCAAUAAGCAAUUGAUAAUAACUAUGAUUUGUUUUAGAAAAAAAAUCACUGGACAUGCCACUUGGGUGCGUGUCCCCCUUCUCUCUGUCCUUUGCUUAUCCACGGUGGAAUUUUCAAUCUCAUGACUGAGGGCACUUCUUUGGAAGACUAGUCUUCAACUCUCGGCUUCCUUAGAUUCUACUGCCACGUGUCCUCCAACUAUGCUGCCAUAUUUUCUAGUCCAUUUUACCCAACACAUAUCAACCAAGCAAUUGAUGAUAAUUUUGAUUAAGAAAAUAAUCAUAUAUCAUACCUUUAUAUCAAGUUCACAAAAUUAUGCUCAAAUCACCACGUGAGAUUGAAUCUAAGAAAUAUCAACUAUAUCCCUGAAAUUUAAAGUGUAAUCAGCCAUUGAAAGAGAGACAAGGUUCACAUUCGGAGUAAGUAAUGCAUUAUGAUUAAGCUAAUUCUUCUAUAUCAAAGAGCAUGACUACGGUCUUGCAAAAGUGACACUUGUCUAAUUUCUUUUGAAAUACUACCAACACAAAGUUGUAUGGUGUGAAAACAUUGACAAAAUUAAAUCUAGAAAAGCAGAGAAAAAAGGUCAAGAAAAUUAAAAUUUUACGGAAGAAAAUGUCUAGGGUCGCUAGAACGAUAACAUAAGAAGUUUAUUAUUUCUCUUUUUGUCUUAGUUUCAAGGACGAAACAACGUUCAUAUAUGCUUAUUUGUUUUAUAAAAGUAUUAUAUUCAAUUUAUGAAAACUAAACCUAGUUUUCAUAUUAAAAAGAGCACCAUUCUUUAAAGUUUUAUCACAAGAAGAACUUUUUGGAAACUUUAAGGAAAUGAAAGUACGUUAAAUUAUUUUAAAUUAGAAACGUCUUAAAAUGAAACACCGUGAAAGUUUUGUCCACGCUCAGUUUUUAACGAAUAAUUUGCUUAAUGGACCCUGCUUUAAUUUCAAUUUCAUUCCAUAACAAAUUAUCUCCGUAUAUUUUAAUAUAUGUUAUAAAUGUAUUUACAUUAUAGUGAAUGUCUAUCAAGAAUAUAGAUAAGAUCUAUUAAGAUCUAGUUGAUAUCUAUCAGGAUUUGAAGUAUCUAUUUUUUAGUCAGAAACUAGGAGUAUUUUUCCCCUAUAAAUAGAAGAAGGGUUUUAUUCAUUGUAUUUUCAAUCUUAUGAUCUUUCAUCCCAUCAAGAUAAAUAAAGAAACAUCCUCUCUUGUCUCUAUUUAUUCUUGUUAUUCUUACUUUAUUUAUUCUUGUUAUUCUUACUUUAUAUUUUAUAACACGUUAUCAGCACUACUCUCUUGCUGGGUAAUUUAUUUCUAAUCUGGAUAAUUUAUUUCUCAUCUAUCUUCAUGGUGGUAAGAAUAUACAUUUAUGUUGAUAUCAAUAAGCUAAUUUUAGUGGUUGAUAUAUAUAAAUUAAUUUUUUGUUUCUUAAAAUAUAAUCAUACAAGUGUAUGCUACCUAUUUUGUGAAAAGGUAAAAUAUACAGUUUCACUAUUAAAUUUAAUCUAUUCGUUUAGUUAAGAAUUACAGGAAUCAAUGAUAAUGAUUGUCCAAAGGUAUAUUUUAUUUUUUCCCUUUUCAAAUCUGGUACAAAGGUAAGUAUUUGAGAUUUUUGCUUACUUUUAAUUUAAUAAUUUUAUCAAUAUCUUUCUCUAAGUUAUAAUGAAUACGUAGUAGUAUAUAAUAACCAUUUUGAUGCUUAUUUUCAUCAUGAUUAUACUAAUAACAAGUUGUUGGGUUCAAGUCCCAUCGAUUUAUGCCUAAGACGUCUUUAUAUUGAUAAGACGUUGAGUUCGAAUCUUAAUGCACCAAAUUGAUAAUAUAAUGAUGGCUAAGGAAAAAUAAUGGGUAUUUUAUGAAAGUCAUGAAAUUCGACCCAUUGAAUAUGCUCCAUUCUAUGAAGAAAAUGUGGUAGCAAUAUAUGAUAAGUCUGAAAUAUGACAACUUACUUCAUUUUUUAGGUGUAUGUGGUAGCAGUGCAUAAUAUGUCUGAAAGAAGACCAGUGAUUGAAUGCAUGGCUAUAAGCGUGGAGGGACAAUAUGAUAAUAAUCAUCAAGAGUGAUAAUAUUUUCACACGCUUAUUAUGACUAAAAGAUAUGUUAGAGAAAACAAUUAUCUACAUUAUACGUAUACCUCAAUUUGCUUCUGAAGUAGCAAUAUCAUGAAAGAGGUUAUAAGCUAUCAUAAUUUGAUUGUCUUAAGGCACGAUUAUAUUUCAUUCUUAGGAAAUAAGAAGCUUAUUAAUGCAAACGUGCACUUGAUUGUGAUGGUAUCACAACUCACUUCCGAAAGAGGCUGAAUAACUUAAAAGAGUUAUUUUCAAAUCUACUUCAAAAGUAGUAAAUCUAAAAUUUACUCAUAUAAUAGUAAAUCUGAAAUUUACUAAAGUAAAAGAUACAUGUCAUGGUAAACUUGGAGUUUGCUAGAAUAAAAGUUCAUAAAUUGAUAUGAAUGAUUGUGACAUCUCAAAGAUGUGUAUACUGAGUAUUGAACAUAUAUUGAAGAAUUAGAAAAUUCUUCAUUACUUUUAAUGUUGCUUGUUCUCAUGAUAAGUUGGUUGGACCAACUAAUAUUGGGAUUGGAUCCCUUAAAUCUGAAAAGUAUAAAAAGUGGAUAAGGGUCUGUUCACCUAUCAUGUGAUAUGUUGAAAAGAUGCAUCAAUAAGAUGAUCACAUGUACAUUCAUUGUCAACCUAUGUUUGACAUUCAUAAAGUUGUUUGCUCAAUAAAAUUAAAAUUAAGAACAUAACUUUCAGACUGUGUAAUUAAGAUAAUUCAUCUUGAUGGUAAUAGUUUGGCAUUAAAUGCCUUCGAUAAAUAGCUAAACCAUUACUAAUGAGAACAAAGCAUCAUGUGUUUGAUUAAAAUAUAAUAUAUUAUAUACAAUAUCACUUGUAUGCAUUAGACUAAUAGAUUAUGAUUAUUUCUUCUCCCUCAAUUGGUUCAAGGUCAUGAACCUAAUAUUCCAUCUAAUAAUUUUGGUGUGUGGUAUACGAUUGAUGAAUAUAUCAUGAUGCACAAAGAUGGAAUCCUCAAAGAAGAUAGAGGGUGUAUGUUAUUUUUCCUAACAUAAGGGGGGGAUUAUAAGCAGCCAUAAAAUAUGUUAGGAAUUAUCACCAAAUCCUCAUUCAAAAGAUAAUUCGAGUCAAAUGCCAAAAGCAUCUCAUAUUUAAGCUACAAGUGCUCCUAUUUUGUGUCCAUGAAAGACAAAGUCUAUGCAUACGUUAAGCGUGGUAAAUUAAUCAGUUCCAAAUAAAAGAAUCCUUGAAAAGGAUAAGAAGCAAAUAAUCAUAAUAAGAAGACAAUGUGCUCUUAAAAAGCCUACGACAUAACACUUCAUGAAACCUUAUGAGAGAUUUAGGUACCUAAAAAUAAUGAAGUGAUGAGAUCUCAAAAUGUUAUGUCAUAUUGUGAACAGAUACGAAAUAAUAUAUCAUCAAUGAUAUCUUUGAUACAUUAUUGACGCAAUAUUGUAAAAGAUUAUGAGGAUCCAAAUUCUACGUUUAUUUAAGCAUAUUGACGUAGAAAAAUUUAUCAAGUGGCCUGAAAGGAUGAAUUUUAGUAAGCUUAAAACUUAUUUGAUUUGCAUUCCAGACACUUGAAGAUGUCACACUUGACAUGUUGGAUACUGUUACUUGACAAGAAUCUAUAUGAAAAUCCCUAAAGGAUUCAAAAUGCCUGAAGCAUAUCAAAAAGUUUUUGGAAAACUUGUUUAUUAUCCUUAUAAGGGAUAAAUUGAUGGUCUAAAUAUUGUUGAAACUCUUGGAGAGUUUUCAAAAGCAAUAGAUUAUUUGCUGAAAUAAGAAAAAUGAAUUAUCAUAUCUUAGUGCAAUUGGUGCACAACACUAAUGUAUCUUACAAAUGCUACAAGGUUUGAUAUAACCUUUGCAGUCAAUUUAUUAGCAAGGUAUAUUUCUGCUCUUAUUAGGAGACAACAAAAUGGGAUCAAAUACAUGAGCUUAUUUUAUUCUAAAGAUUGCAGUCCCGAUCUUAUUGGUCAUACUAAUGUUUAGUACUCAUUUGACCCUCAUAAUUCUUAGUCUCAAACAUGCAAUGUGUUUAUAUGUGGGGAUACUGUCAUAUCUUGGAGAUAAAGGAUUUAUACAUAACACAUCUUAAGGGAGGAUUCAUAAAAGGAGAUAGAAUAAAGCACAUUUGGCCAAAACUUUUCUACACACACUAGCUACAAAAGAAUAGUGAUAUUAAUGUGCAACAGAUUUGUUCAAGUGAUACUGUGGCUGAUUUAUUCACCAAGUUUUCUCUAAUUGCAACUUUCAAGAAGAUGGUGCACAAUAUCGGGAUGCAAAAGUUCAAGGAUGUUCUCAUUAGGGGGAGUUAAUACACGUUAUACUCUUUUUCCCUUAUGAGGUUUUGUCCCACUGGAUUUUCUUUGUAAGAUUUUUAAUGAGGUAGCCUAUAUGCGUAUUGUUAGAGAUGUGUACUCUUUUUCCUUCACUAGACUUUUUUUCCACUGGGUUUUUUCUAGUAAGGUUUUAACAAGGCACAUUAUCUAUCAAUUAGACAUUCAAAGAGGAGUGUCAUAAAUGUAUUUACAUUAUAGUGAAUGUCUAUCAUGAAUAUAGAUAAGAUAUAUCAAGAUUUAGUUCAUAUCUAUAGGAAUUUGAAGUAUCUAUCUUUUAGUCAAAACUAGAAGUAAGUUUCCCCUAUAAAUAGAAGGGCUUCCUUCAUUGUAAAUCAUGCUGAAUCCCUCAAGAGAAAUAAGAAUUACUCUCUCUAUUCUCUCUACUCUUCCUCUUUGUUCUUUUUUUAUAUUUCAUAAUAAUAUAUGUUUUUUUGUUUAGUUUGAAUAUUGAGGUACGGAAGUUCAAGGUAUUGAAAUCUUUCUUGGAUAUCUCACUCCACCUAAUUAGUUUAGUACAAUCGUGGUAAAGGAGGCACCACUUCGUUGUAUUUAUUUGCCCUGUAAUUUUAUUAUGUCAUUUUUAAUUAAUUAUUAUAUAUUAUUUAUGUAUUAAAAAAUUAAUAAUAUUUAAUAAAAAUAAAUAAAUAGAUAUUUAUGAUAAAUUUGUUCCAGCUGCUUCAACCAUAAUUUUAUUAUAUCACCCUUAAUUAAUUAUUAUAAGUCACCCAAAUAUUAAAAAAUUAAUCGUUAUUUAAUAAAAACUAUAAAAUAGACAAAAUGAUAAAUUAACUAUUAAUGUUUUAAAUUAACUUGACAUCUUAUAUGAGGCUUACUUAAAAAAUUUUUCACAAGUAUUUUUUAUAGAAAUUUUGUAUAUCACUUCUAACUACACUACCAGAAGUUAACCCUACGGUGACGGCUGUAAAACCGUUGCAAUAGACAGAAAAACUGUUACCACAGCUCUACCGCAACGAUUCAACAAGCGUCCUAUAGGUGGGCGUCGCGAUAGGUUUAUGGCAACGGUUUAUGUGACGGUUGUCUGAACCAUAGCCAUAGGUCAAACUAUGGCGACAGUUUCAUACAACUGUCGACAUAGGUUGACCUAUGGAGACGGUUAUUUUUUGACUUAUUGGGAUGCCUAUUUUCAUAUAUAGCAACAGUUACUAGAGAAAAUUGACGUAAAGGUAUAUUUUAAGUCUUGAAUGAAGGAUUAGUGACAUUGACCAACUUAAAGGGUCAAACAUCAUUUGAAAACUUGAUUAAGUUAAUUGUGGAGUUGAUUAAUAUUUUCAAAACUUUGUAAUCUUUUCAAAAAUACAAAUCAACCCAGCGCACACCCUUCUUCAAUCCAAAUCAACCAUUCCCUAUCUUCUCUCUCUCUCUCGAUAGCUUCUCUCAACUCUCUAUCAACCAACAGUUCUGCAAAAUUCUCCCUUUAAUCUGUGGCAAAAAAUAGUCGCCGAGUUUCCUUUCAACUUUCAACCAUCAAUUGAUGUGAAGAAUUCUCCGACGAUAACAACUUUGAGUUCUUCGUCGUCCCAUUUCCUUUUUCACAAGUUAAAAAUUAUGAAGAAACUAAGGAACUUGAGCCAACUACUCUUCUAGUAUUAAAAUAUGGACUGAAUAAAAUCAUAAUUUCUGGCAUUUCUUCUUCUUGUUGUCUGCUGUUAAUUCAAAUUUGUUGGUAAUUUUUAUUCACAGUUGAUGUUCUUAGUGUGUGUGUGUGUGUGAUGUGUUAGUGUUGCUGGGUUGAUUUGUUGUUUAUCUUGAAAAUAAUAGUGUUGAAACAGAUAAAACAUUUGAUGCAACAGAAGAAGACAUCUGAUGAAAUAGAUGAAGACAUCUAAUGCAACAGAUGAAGACAUCUGAUGCAACUAUGAAAAUCGAUGCAACAGAUGAACAAUCUAACAGAUUAUUCAUCUGUUACGACAGAUGACUCUUAUGUUUGGAAGAAAUCUAAAGAAUAUUGAUCCAACAGAUAACUCAUUUUCUAACUGAUGAGUGAUAUGUUUCAACAGUUCAGUGAUCUAUUUUUAUUCUCUCCAAAGGUUUACUCAUCUGUUGCAACAGGUCAUUAUAUAUUGUGAUAGAUAAAGUACCUGGUGCAAUAGAUCAGUGAUCUAUUUUCAUUAUUUCCAAUAGAUUACUCAUUCGUUGCAAUAAGUUAUUUAUAUGUUAUAAUAGAUAACAAACCUCGUGCAACAGAUUAAUGAUCUAUUUUUAUGGUCUUGUUUGGAAGAAAUCUAAACAAUAUUGAUCUAACAGAUAACUUAUUUUCCAACAGAUAAGUGAUAUAUUUCAACAGUUCAGUGAUCUAUUUUUAUUCUCUCCAAAGGUUUACUCAUCGUUGCAAUAGGUCAGUUAUAUGUUGCAAUAGAUAAAAUACCUGGUGCAAUAGAUCAGUGAUCUAUUUUUAUUAUUUCCAACAGAGUACUCAUCCGUUAUAACACGUCAUUUAUAUGUUGCAAUAGAUAACAAACCUGGUGCAACAGAUUAGUAAUAUGUUUUUAUGGUUUCCAAUGGAUUACUCAUUCGUUGCAACAGGUUGUUUAUCUGUUGCAUUAGAUAAAAUACCUGGUGCAACAGAUUAGUGAUUUGUUUUAUAGUUUUUAAUGAUUUAAUCAUCUACCUGGUGCAACAUACCUGAUAUAGCAAAUUAGUGAUCUAUUUUUAUUGUUUUCAAUGGUUUACUCAUACGUUGCAUCUGGGCUGGACAGAUUAGAGAUCUAUUUUUAUUGUUUCCAACGAUUUACCCAUCCGUUGCAACACGUCGGUUAUAUGUUACAACAGAUGUGUUAUCUAUUGGAACUAUUUUUCUUACCGUUGUGCAUAUUUGAUUUAUUGUUAUCCCUUUUUAAUGAUGCAUUAAUAAAUUAUAAUCUAUUUUAUGUCCCAAUUAAUUUAAGAUAAUACGGCUCCAAAAAAAAAGAAACCAAAUCAAGUACAAGUAAAGGAACAAGUGCAACAUCUCGGCUAUAGCCACUACUCUAAGCUUAUUUUAUAAUUGCUAUCUCAAUCAGGAGCAGAAGAUAAUGAACACGAGAAGGAGGAAUGUCUCAAAAGAGAUGAUCCAAAUGCUAAUAGCCCUUCCACCGAAGAGUUGGUCAAAACCUUCAGCAUUGAUUGUUAUCCUGUGAGAAUGUAGUGCAAUGGUGCCACAGAUUUAAGGGUGAUUUUGUGGUGAAGUCGGCCAUGGGGAAAUCUUUUGGCGCCUUCAAAAAAAUACUCCGAGAACAAAAAUUGGAUGCUUAUUUCAGGUAAAGCUAUUUUGGGCAAUAUCUUGAUUUGCUGGAGGACAACAAUGCUUGUUUCCAGAUGAAAAUGGUAUAUGAUCUUCUCAAGCGUAGGUUUAUAUAUGAAAAUAAAAACAAGAUGGAUGAUGUAUGGAUAAAUUACAGUGGCAUGCCUAUUUGUUUUGGUUAGAAGUUUGCCAUAGUUACCGGACUAAAAUAUUAUCCUCCUUCUCCUUCUCAAGUUAUACCUACUCUGACCCAAAAUAAAGCACCCUGCACACCCAAAAAAGGCAAAGACAAGUCGAGUGAUCGUGAGGACCUGGUGUCUAUUGUUGGUCCAAGCUUCAAAAAUAAAAAUUUGAUAGAAGCAUUGAAAGGUAAAGGACUCUCAAAGAAGCACAAGUAUUCAUUAUGUUUGGUUUGGUUUGUUCAUAAUAUUAUUUGGGCGAGAGACGCUAACAACAACAUAAGUCCCGGUUUAAUAAAUCUCUCCAAGGAUCUUGAGGCAUUUAACAGCUAUCCUUAGGGUUAUGAAAGUUUUAAAUGACUAUCCAAUAUUUUUUGACUCUGUUGAUACCAAAGAUAGUCAACUUAUAUGGCUUUUCAUGGGCCUUCAUGGUAAAUAUUUCUUUUAUCAUGAUAUGAUUCAUCAUUUUUUAUUCAAUAAUGCUUUUGAUUUAUUGGCAUUAUGUUAUAGGCUUAGGCAUUUGAAGCUAUUCUAUAUUUGAGACAACAAGUGAACUACCAAGAAGAAGUUUUCAGUCCAAGAAUCUUGAGAUGGUUGUCGGCUAAAACCGAUAAAAAUGCAAAUAUUUUUGAUCUUUUCAAUCCUCCAAGGAAGCAGUGAGUUCAAUUCUAAUCAAGUUUUUAUUUUAAUUAAUGAUUAGUUUAAAUAAUUUCAUCAUCAUUCUAAUAUAUGUACCUAUUUAUUUUAGAUUGUCCAUCCGUGGCUUAUUCCGACCAAUCGGGAGUUGAAGAUGCCAUUUUUUCUUACUUUACGGUCUGUGCAAACUUUACCGGACCCUAAGGUCGUUGAUGGAAUAAAAAUGGAAUUGUUUGGAGCAAUAUCCAUCACAAGAAAAAUAAUUUUGGAGGGUGGACUUGUUGUUGUUGACGAUGGUAGUCGUAGUGGUAGUGGUAGUGGUAGUGGUGCUGCUGUUGGGGCUAAUAAUGCUUCUCUUUCCAGUUUUAAAACAACAAGCCAUUAUGAUUAUGAUCAUACCGGUUGUAUAGAUUUUGCCACAUCUAGCGAAUGUUCUGCAUGCAAAUGUCAAGACUGCAAGGCGAAACAAGAUGGAGUGAUUAAUGCUAUUAAUGCAUUAACUGCUUCUGUAAAGAAAAUGGCAUCUACGAGGGGUGUCACUCCAUCAAAGAGGAUUUCAUAUCUAUACACUCCACUAGAUAUCAAAGCGGCUAAGAAGAGAAGAAAAGAUACUUCCAAGGCAUCAUCAAGUAUCGAAAAAAGAAAAAUUGCAACGCCUCUGUCUUUGUCUUGCACUGAUGUUCAGUGUGCAAGGGCCACAGGAGAGUAACAUGAGUCGAAGAAAGUUAAUGUACAUCACCUGUUCCAAUAAACAAACAGGCACAUAUCUGCUUUAAACAGAUGAUACAUCUGCUGAAAAUUAUCAAAUAGAUAUAUACAUCUAUUGCAACUGUUUUGUUACCUGUUGCAUCAGAUGUGUUAUCUGUUGCAAUAGAUGAGUCUUAUAUUGCAACAUAUGGGUCAUCUGUUCAAAAUUAUCGUACUUCUCUAAUUUACUAGUUUGAAUUUGUCCUAACAGAUGAUCCAUCUGUUGCAACAUAAGAAUCGCCUGUUGCUACAGAUGGAUAAUCUGUUGUAUAUCUAUAAUUAGCAUUGAGAAUUUUGGAUUUUCAGGUAGAUGUCACGGUAGAAGCCACUGCUGAAGAGCAUAAUAUCACAGUUUAUAAUUCAUCAACUGCUUCCAAACAAGA